CUGGCGGCGUGGAUAAGACAUGCAAGUCGAGCGAUCAACGAUCAUCAGGUAACUGAUGGUAAGAGAUAGCGGCGAACGGGUGAGUAACACGUAGGAAUCUGCCCCAAAGUUCGGAAUAGCCCGGUGAAAGCCGGGGUAAUACUGGAUGUGAUCUUAGGAUUAAAGGCUUUCGGGUCGCUUUGGGAUGAGCCUGCGUUCCAUCAGCUUGUUGGUAGGGUAAAAGCCUACCAAGGCUAAGACGGAUAGCUGGUCUGAGAGGACGGUCAGCCACAAUGGAACUGAGACACGGUCCAUACACCUACGGGUGGCAGCAGUCGAGAAUCAUUCACAAUGGACGAAAGUCUGAUGGUGCGACGCCGCGUGGGGGAUGAAGGCCUUAGGGUCGUAAACCCCUGUCGGGUGCGAGUAAGCUCUGCUUCGGUAGAGACCUUGGCAAUGUGUCCAGGGGUUUGAUAUUAGCACCAAAGGAAGGGACGGCUAACUCCGUGCC
rnacentral:rRNA from 1 species